GCUCAGGAUGAACGCUAGCUACAGGCUUAACACAUGCAAGUCGAGGGGCAUCAGGAAGAAAGCUUGCUUUCUUUGCUGGCGACCGGCGCACGGGUGAGUAACACGUAUCCAACCUGCCCUUUACUCGGGGAUAGCCUUUCGAAAGAAAGAUUAAUACCCGAUAGCAUAAUGAUUCCGCAUGGUUUCAUUAUUAAAGGAUUCCGGUAAAGGAUGGGGAUGCGUUCCAUUAGGUUGUUGGUGAGGUAACGGCCCACCAAGCCUUCGAUGGAUAGGGGUUCUGAGAGGAAGGUCCCCCACAUUGGAACUGAGACACGGUCCAAACUCCUACGGGAGGCAGCAGUGAGGAAUAUUGGUCAAUGGGCGCUAGCCUGAACCAGCCAAGUAGCGUGAAGGAUGAAGGCUCUAUGGGUCGUAAACUUCUUUUAUAUAAGAAUAAAGUGCAGUAUGUAUACUGUUUUGUAUGUAUUAUAUGAAUAAGGAUCGGCUAACUCCGUGCCAGCAGCCGCGGUAAUACGGAGGAUCCGAGCGUUAUCCGGAUUUAUUGGGUUUAAAGGGAGCGUAGGUGGACUGGUAAGUCAGUUGUGAAAGUUUGCGGCUCAACCGUAAAAUUGCAGUUGAUACUGUCAGUCUUGAGUACAGUAGAGGUGGGCGGAAUUCGUGGUGUAGCGGUGAAAUGCUUAGAUAUCACGAAGAACUCCGAUUGCGAAGGCAGCUCACUGGACUGCAACUGACACUGAUGCUCGAAAGUGUGGGUAUCAAACAGGAUUAGAUACCCUGGUAGUCCACACAGUAAACGAUGAAUACUCGCUGUUUGCGAUAUACAGUAAGCGGCCAAGCGAAAGCAUUAAGUAUUCCACCUGGGGAGUACGCCGGCAACGGUGAAACUCAAAGGAAUUGACGGGGGCCCGCACAAGCGGAGGAACAUGUGGUUUAAUUCGAUGAUACGCGAGGAACCUUACCCGGGCUUAAAUUGCAGUGGAAUGAUGUGGAAACAUGUCAGUGAGCAAUCACCGCUGUGAAGGUGCUGCAUGGUUGUCGUCAGCUCGUGCCGUGAGGUGUCGGCUUAAGUGCCAUAACGAGCGCAACCCUUAUCUUUAGUUACUAACAGGUUAUGCUGAGGACUCUAGAGAGACUGCCGUCGUAAGAUGUGAGGAAGGUGGGGAUGACGUCAAAUCAGCACGGCCCUUACGUCCGGGGCUACACACGUGUUACAAUGGGGGGUACAGAAGGCAGCUAGCGGGUGACCGUAUGCUAAUCCCAAAAUCCUCUCUCAGUUCGGAUCGAAGUCUGCAACCCGACUUCGUGAAGCUGGAUUCGCUAGUAAUCGCGCAUCAGCCACGGCGCGGUGAAUACGUUCCCGGGCCUUGUACACACCGCCCGUCAAGCCAUGGGAGCCGGGGGUACCUGAAGUACGUAACCGCAAGGAUCGUCCUAGGGUAA
rnacentral:rRNA from 1 species